GAUGAACGCUGGCGGCGUGCCUAAUACAUGCAAGUCGAGCGAACAGACGAGGAGCUUGCUCCUCUGACGUUAGCGGCGGACGGGUGAGUAACACGUGGAUAACCUACCUAUAAGACUGGGAUAACUUCGGGAAACCGGAGCUAAUACCGGAUAAUAUAUGGAACCGCAUGGUUCAAUAGUGAAAGACGGUUUUGCUGUCACUUAUAGAUGGAUCCGCGCCGCAUUAGCUAGUUGGUAAGGUAACGGCUUACCAAGGCGACGAUGCGUAGCCGACCUGAGAGGGUGAUCGGCCACACUGGAACUGAGACACGGUCCAGACUCCUACGGGAGGCAGCAGUAGGGAAUCUUCCGCAAAGGGCGAAAGCCUGACGGAGCAACGCCGCGUGAGUGAUGAAGGUCUUCGGAUCGUAAAACUCUGUUAUUAGGGAAGAACAAAUGUGUAAGUAACUAUGCACGUCUUGACGGUACCUAAUCAGAAAGCCACGGCUAACUACGUG
rnacentral:rRNA from 1 species